rnacentral:lncRNA from 1 species
CCGAUCAAAUCCAAACGAGUACAGCCAGUACAUUUAUCCAGAUCGUCAAAUGUUCAGGCUUGGUUCAUGACAAUCGCUCUUCAUUCUGCCACAAGAUUUAGAUAACAGGAAAAUGUUGAAAUGACACUAGGGACUCAACUACAUUCGUAAAGAAAAAGCAUUUAUAAAUGCAUUAUAACACUGUGACACCAGAUACUGGGAGAGCUCUGUCUUUCAGCAUCGUGAUUUCCCAUUAUGAGGUCUACCACGCAUUUUCCUGAAACCUUUUUUUGAUGUGUCUAGAUCCAGCCUGGAAUUCUGUUUUAGGAAAUCACAGCAAUUGAAAAAAAUAAAUACUCCGUGCUGUUUCUUUUAGGGUAAAAUUUUGCAUGUAAUAUUAAUGUUCAUAGAUUUUAUUUAUUCAAACACAAACUUUAGACUUAGCCACAAAGAACUAUAUCCUGAGAUAAUUACUUCAGCAUUACCUACUGAUUCCUGCAGAGAUUGUAGUUCAGUGUUCAAGUGCAUGCCAAUGGCUAUAAUUUAUUGACAUGUUAUAUCCAUAUCCAAAUGUCUGACCUUGCUUCAGCAAUUUUAUUGAAGAAGGAUAAGUGCUUCUGUUUUACCUAAGAAGACAAAGACAGCACAGCAGUUCAGGAUACAAGUUUCUCUACCAAGUUGUCAUUUUUCACAUCUUUUCUUCAGGCUGAAUAGGAAAAAUAUUUACUUUUCAACAUGAGAGAUAAACCUGACUAGCUUUGAAAUAAUUAAAGGUAAGUGUCAUGGGGGGUGAAUUGUUCUCUUUUUAAAAGGAGGGUUUUCUAAGAUCAGAGGUUACCUCUGAUCCACAGGUAGAUUUGAUCAAAUAUACCAAUAAAGCUAUAUUUAUUGGUAUAUAACUAUACCAAUAAAGGUGGUGAAUUAUCUUCCUCCCCUAUAUGACCUCAGAUUGGUCACUGUAAUGAAAUAGCCACUGCAUAAUCCUUAGCACUUCUGGAAGCACCUCUCAGUGUGGCUUUCAGGUCUUCACCUUUCCUGCCUUUGAAGUUCGGCUCAGAGAAUGUGGCUGUUGAGUUUUGCAGAACCUUUUGUGCCCCUUGAAUAUAUAUCCCAAGUUCUGAUUUUAAAAUCCAAUCAUUUCCCCCCCCGCCGCCAUUCAAGCAGAUCCUUCUUUAAUAUUUUAGUUAAUUUAAUACCAUGUGGUAGCGUGCCUCAAGGCAAUGAAUAUAGUUCUCUCUCUUUUCGCUUUGAUUAAACAUGCUGGCACAGUUUGUUUAAAGCCUGUGUGAUCACAAGACAUAUGUAGCCUUUGAGAGUGAGGCCAUUGGGGUGGUCUCAUCAAGAAACUGGUUUGCGUUCAACUUUAUUUGGCAGGCCAUAGUGGUAGUGUAGGGAAUAGAAACUUUAAGGAAAGCUUAUAAUGUUACAUCAGACUAAUCCACACCAUGGUGGCAUCUGAAGUUGUGAAGACUAUAGGCCUCCUUUUACAGCCUUCAUCUCGAAUGCAAGAAGGCAGGAAAAUGAGUUGUUGUUGUUGUUGUUGUUGUUGUUGUUGUUGUUGUUAUAUCCCACCCAUCUGGCUGGGUUACCCCAGCCACCCUGAGCAGCUUCCAACGCAUAUAAAAUCAUAAUUAAACAUUAAAUAUUAAAAACUUGCUGAUACGGGGUUGCCUUCAGGUGUCUUCUAAAAUUGGCGCAGUUCUUUAUUUCCUUGACAUCUGAUGGAAGGGUGUUCCACGGGGGGGUGCCACUGUUGAGAAGGCCCUAUAUAUGUGUGUACACUGCCAUACUAUGUCAAAUGCACAUAUAUGUGUAUGAAGCAAAGAAUGUCCAGGAUGGGCAUAGAUUUAAGACAGCAUAUAUUUUUGAGAAGCAAGCAACAGCAGAAUGAAACUGGAAUUUGACAUCUCCAUUAAACCAAGCAAACUUGUUGUUUGUUGACUUGGUUGUAAACCUGCUGUUUGUUUCCCAGGUCUUCGAGGUGGAUUUAAAUCUUGUCUCACUAACAAUGUACAUACAAACAAACCUAUACUGUCUGCUGAACCUUGAUCGAGGUUGCACACAUGUUAGACUAGAUAGAUGAUCAAUAGAUUGAUAGAUUGAUGAUGAUUAGAUAGAUGAUAGAUAGAUAGAUGAUAGAUAGAUAGAUAGAUAGAUAGAUAGAUAGAUGAUAGAUAGAUAGAUGGAUGAUAGAGAUGAUCACAGUAGCAUAGCGUGGGUUGCCAGUGCCCAGGGCCACACAGAGGGUAGGUGGGUGGAUGAGUGAUAAUUGGAUGGAUUAGGCAUGUGCAUUCAGCUGCCUAAGGCAUUCGCGGCACCCAUGAGAUUGCAGCCACAAACAUAAGAAAAUAAGAGUCAUUCUGUAGUCUAGAGAGGUCACUUCCUAGUUUGCAUGGAGGAACCAUUUUCAGUAAAGCCCAGUGACAGAAGUGUGUAGCUAUAUUGAGGCAGCAACGGGUGUUGAAAUGCUGCAACCCUAACAAAUGUUGUGCCCUGUGGCCCCUCUCAUGCAACGCCACUGGAUGAUCAAUAGAAUAAAUAAAUAAAUUUUAUAUUUACAGUGGUACCUCGGGUUACAUACGCUUCAGGUUACAUACGCUUCAGGUUACAGACUCCGCUAACCCAGAAAUAGUGCUUCAGGUUAAGAACUUUGCUUCAGGAUGAGAAAAGAAAUCGUGCUCCGGCGGCGCGGCGGCAGUGGGAGGCCACAUUAGCUAAAGUGGUGCUUCAGGUUAAGAACAGUUUCAGGUUAAGUACAGACCUCCAGAACGAAUUAAGUACUUAACCUGAGGUACCACUGUAUUGCCCUGCCAAGAGCCUAGAAUGUAGACCUGCAGUGAGAUUUUGUCUAUUCCCAAGAGGAAAGUCUGAAUGCUGAUCUAGUUAAUUCACUGUGAUUGAUUACAACACAUCUACCAUUCAGAGAUAUUAGCCCCCAUAACCUCACACCCAUACCAACCAAUUAAGAAAUAACCAAUAACUCAUUACUCUGUGUACAAGAGCUAAAUCUGCUUUUUUCACGAACCAUUUAUUAGCUAUAUUUCAAGUUAAUCAGUAAGAAUCUGAAUAUGCUUCAUACUGCAGGCAUAUUUCUGUGAUACCCAGACCAAGUAAGCCGUUAUCAGUUAUUAAGGUUGACAUUUCCUCCAAGGAGCGUGUUGUAACUUCUUCGGGCACAUAAACAGUCUAGGGAGGAUGGUAUUUAUAAGAGUUGCUUAGAUAUCAGAAGAGCUAGAUUCAGGGCUAGAAGCAGCAGCAGCAAUCCAGUCCCACACUGGAAAUCACCUCUAAAAGUGUCUGCCGGGAAGGACUGAAAAGAUUUGACUCCUUAGAGACUGAAGCAGUACAUCAUGCACUCCAAAGCAGUCCCUAAACAAAGGCAGUGGUGAGUGUUGAAUUCCACAAGUCAAAUCUGAAUCCCUUGGAACUGCACUUCCAACUCUUACAUAAAACAUACAGUGUGGAAUCGAAGGGGUCACAUUGGCAUAAAUACCAUCUGCUGGGUCUUGUGCUCAAGAUUGCCAACUUUGAUUGGAAUCAACACCACGACACACACAACGGGGGUGUGAAGUCAUGUUCCUUUCUCUUUCCUGAGCGCCAGAUUGGAAGGAGCAGUGGCAAGCAUGAAUGGACCCGUCUUAAAUGUGUGAUUAGCAUGGUGCUUUUUGUCACAGAAAGCACAGCCCAAGGGAAGUGCGGGUUCACUCAAGCAUUCAAGCCAUCAUAAUGAGGAAGCAGGAAAGGAUGGGGAGGGGAGAGAGAUAAUCAUUCCUUGUCUCUUCUCAACUUAUCUAAGAGAGAAAGAGAGACAGUACACACACAUACAACUUUCAGCUAGCCAUUUGAUCUGUGAUUCAGCUGAAGCAUAUAUUAACAUGGCAUCAGUGUGGAUUUGAAGACUGCAAAGGAUACUUUAUGGAGAAACAAUGUGGGGCAUCCAACAUAUAUCCUCCAAGCCAUUAACUGCCACUUAUUUAAUUCGAGUUAAUGUAACCGAAUAGGGACGCGGGUGGCACUGUGGGUUAAACCACAGAGCCUAGGAUUUGCCGAUCAGAAGGUCAGCAGUUCGAAUCCCCGCGACGGGGUGAGCUCCCAUUGCUCGGUCCCUGCUCCUGCCAACCUGGCAGUUUGAAAGCACCUCAAAGUGCAAGUAGAUCAAUAGUCACCGCUCCGGUGGGAAGGUAAACGGCGUUUCCGUGCGCUGCUCUGGUUUGCCAGAAGCGGCUUAGUCAUGCUGGCCACACGACCCAGAAGCUGUACACCGGCUCCCUUGGCCAAUAAAGAGAGAUGAGCGCCGCAACCCCAGAGUCGGCCACGACUGGACUUAAUGGUCAGGGGUCCCUUUACCUUUAAUGUAACCGAAGAUUUGCCGCUGGUGAAAAGCAACCAUGAAAAAAAGAGGUCUUCAAAAGAUCUGGAUGCCUAUCUGCUCACCAAGGUUUGCUUCCUCACCUGCCAUUUACCAUGGGAUUGAGCAGGUCCAAUUUGACUUUGCAAAGCACUGUACCAGCCAGGAAACCGGGAGAAGCUGGAGGCACUAAAUAAGGAGACCUCUGCAAUCUAGAGUACUCUUCUCCCAACUGUACCCUACCUUGUUUUAUUGAAAGCUGCCUCAUGAUCGUAGAUGUGGAAUAUCUUCUAAGAAGGCCGCUCCACUUCCUUCUGGGACAGUGUUGCAGGCAGGCCACAUGGUCUCCCGUACACAGCGGGGGCAUGGCUAAGCCCCCACAUCAUUGGGGAGUCCCUGCCGCAUCAUGGCGCCCGGCCAACCAAUCCGGUUGCCCGGGGGCGUGGCUUAGUGAAUUUCAGCAGCUGCGUGGCUGAGGGAUCUCCCUUCUUGUUCCGGCUUCCGCAGAUCUGCACGUUUCGCUCCUGCGCUCGUCAAACUUAGGGAGGCUUUAGUGUGUGGUUUGGCUGCAGCUGUGGGAAGCGGGUGGCACUGAGCCUAGGGUUUGCCGAUCAAAAGGUCGACCGUUCGAAUCCCCACGGCUGGGUGAGCUCCCGUUGCUUGGUCCCUGCUCCUGCCAACCUAGCAGUUCGAAAGCACGUCAUCAAAGUGCAAGUAGAUAAAUAGGUACCGCUUCGGUGGGAAGGUAAACGGAGUUUCUGUGCGCUGCUCUGGUUUGCCAGAAGCGGCUUAGUCAUGCUGGCCACAUGACCCGGAAGCUGUACGCCGGCUCCCUCAGCCACUAAAGCAAGAUGAGCACCGCAACCCCAGAGUCAUCCGUGACUGGACCUAAUGGUCAGGGGUCCCUUUACCUUUACCUUGGCUGCAGCUGACUUACUUAAACAGAUGACUGGUGGCUUCCCUACGCGACAGCAAGACUGCAUACCAAAUAAUAGGCUAGAAGCUGUGGUUCUUCAGAAACUUUGCCACAGAGAGUCAACCUCCCAAGGCACCCAUUUCUGAUGAGUUGUGUACAUGCAGUAGUUUAUUACUUGGAUGUUCUAGCAAUGAUUUGAAGUUACCCAUUUUGUCACUCAGCUCUCAGGAUAUUGUUUUUGUACUUUCGUUGCUUUUGACAACAUUGUUAAUUACGCUCCAAUGUGUCCCCAGUUUUGUUUUCCGCUACUUCUUUCUCAGUCCACUUAAUGGACCUAAGAGGCCAUUAGCUUGACUACUGACAGUUUAUGCCACAAUAAUCCACCUUUUAAAAUGUGUCACAGCAUCUUCUGUCUUUUUUUGCUGCUACAGAAUAAUCAGAUCGCUGUUCCAAAAUUCACUGUAUGGAAGGUGUCGAAAGGGGCAGUCUAAGGAAUGUGUUCAAUAGUGUAGACUCUUCGCUUUUGAGGGAUCAAAGGUAGCAUAAUUUACUGGUGUUCAUCCAGACUGGUAUCCUUGUUUUCAUUUUUCAAAGUGACCAGUGCUGCAUUUUUCUGAAAAAGUUUAAGUAUUACACAAAUAAUCUGCACACACAGCAGUUUCUUCCUAACCCACUUAGCUAGUAGUUGGCUUGUGCCCUGAAGCUUUCGUAUGGCUUCCAAAAUUAUAAUGCUGAAGAAGUUGUAGACUCUUGUAACUUAUUUCAUUAUCCUCAUAAAUGACCAGUCUUGGGUGUGUGUGGAAAUGCUGAGUUCUAAGCCUCUAUAAUUCCCCGUGGCUAUGAAAAAUAAUGUGAUUGUUUUGCAGUUUCAUUGAAUGCCCUAAUGCUAUUGUUUCUGAAAACCGAGAAUUCCUAGUUUCACUUUAUCUACAGUGCAUUCUGCAAUCUUGUUCAGAUCUCGUCAGUGGUGUGCACCCCAGAUGUUGUUUGACUACAAUUCCCAUCAUCCCUGACCAUUUGUCAUGCAGUCUGAGGCAGAUGGGAAUAGCUGUCCACAUUACCAGGAGAGCACCUCAUUGGGUACUUCAAUCUUGUUCUUUAGAGCUGCCAGCCCAAACCAAAAACUGAAAUCACAAAAGCAGAAAGUAGCUUUCUGUGCUACUGACUACUAGUCUAGCGUACCACUGGGAUCAAAGAAAGUGAUUGGGGACAAGGUAGUAUUUUUCACCAAGGACUUCUGAACAUUCAGCACUGGAAAUCACCACAUGGGCCAUAUCACCCAAUAUCUACUGGUUCUUGUUCUCCAGAUAGACAAGAAGAUACUUAUUCAAAGGAUGGAUCAUUCCCAUAAGAACAUAGGAAGCUGCCUUAUAUUGACAUAGCUGAUCCAGCUCAGUAAAGUCCUUCAUGCAAAGAAUGUACCCUCACAUUUGGACUAUGGAUAUCAGAAACAUUGGAAUAUUGUGCUUAAUCACCAAGGGACUUCCAGGUGUUGACUUUCUCCAGUUACAGUGCUUUUGCAUAUGGUACAUACCCUGCCUGAUAUCUGAAAGCCAGCUGAACACUCUGCCAGUCCUCCUAUGCUAGUCCAAGAGGCCCUUGUGCUUUGGUGGUCCAACUUACCUGCACAUGAAACAGGUUGUUUAGUAUGGUGGCACCAGUUCUUUGAAACUGCCUCUCAAAAUAUACACCUGAUGCAUAUGAUCUUUCAAUUCCAUCGUAUACUGGAGAAAUUUUUUCUUUCUUUCCUUCGCUGAGGCUCUCCCAGUUUAGUUAAUUUGUCCACAAUUAGGCUAAAGAGUAAACCCUACACAAAUCAGAGCCCCUAAGAUGGUUGGAUGAUGCCUUGUACGCCUCUUUCCAGCAACUCCUGCAGCCAUGCUGAUGCCAAACCUAUUGCUCUGCUUUCCUUUGAACCACAUCAGUGAGGCUGAGAAGCAAGUUUGUGGUCCAGGCAGCACAGGACCUCCAUAUACACUGUCCCGGCUUGCACUUCAACAGCUGGGCUUUGCCCCCACAAGCGUACGCCAUAGUCUCUUGAGACAGAUCCAACAACAAUCUGGUAUUUGCCUUAUUUUGUUUUUAUGACAUAUUACUAUUUUCAUGUUAUAUAUUAUAAUCUUUUUAUGCACCCCGUGAAUGGUUGAAUGGUGAACAGUAUAAAAAUAUUUUUAAAUAACUAAGAUAAAGAUUGGUACAAAUGGCACAGUAGCCUAAACAGCUUUUAAGAAGUUUCUGCUUCACUUUCAGGUUUGGCAUUACCAUGGCAGGUGCAGCCGCCAAGUGGAAAUGUCUUUCAGCAGUCUUCACCACAGACUAGACAAUAUCUUAAGAUGGAAAUAUUGGUUAUGCUCUAUUGCAGUGUAACAAUUCUGGAGGUUUGGUUUGCCCAUGAAAUGGAGUGGGGCUGAGGGAGAGUUUGUUCCCUCAUGAAAGCUGCAGCAUUUUUAAAAAGUGAGUCCCUGGGGCAGAAUGUCUUACAACUAGCAAAAAUAAAUAAAUCCACA